rnacentral:rRNA from 1 species
GGCCUUGACAUGCAGAGAACUUUCCAGAGAUGGAUUGUGCCUUCGGGAACUCUGACACAGGUGCUGCAUGGCUGUCGUCAGCUCGUGUCGUGAGAUGUUGGGUUAAGUCCGUAACGAGCGCAACCCUUGUCCUUAGUUUACCAGCGCGUUAUGGUGGGCGACUCUAAGGAGACUGCCGGUGACAACCGGAGGAAGGUGGGGAUGACGUCAAGUCAUCAUGGCCCCUACGGCCUGGGCUACACACGUGCUACAAUGGUCGGUACAAAGGGUUGCCAAGCCGCGAGGUGGAGCUAAUCCCAUAAAACCGAUCGUAGUCCGGAUCGCAGUCUGCAACUCGACUGCGUGAAGUCGGAAUCGCUAGUAAUCGUGAAUCAGAAUGUCACGGUGAAUACGUUCCCGGGCCUU